rnacentral:rRNA from 1 species
GAUGAACGCUAGCGACAGGCCUAACACAUGCAAGUCGAGGGGCAGCACAAGGAGCAAUCUGAGGUGGCGACCGGCGCACGGGUGAGUAACACGUAUGCAACCCUACCUGUAAGAGGGGAAUAACCCCGUUGAAAAACGGACUAAUACCGCAUAACACUGUAGAACCGCAUGGUUUGACAGUUAAACAUUUAUGGCUUACAGAUGGGCAUGCGCAUGAUUAGCUAGUUGGUGAGGUAACGGCUCACCAAGGCAAACGAUCAUUAGGGGGUUCUGAGGAGGAAGGUCCCCCACACUGGUACUGAGACACGGACCAGACUCCUACGGGGAGGCAGCAGUGAGGAAUAUUGGUCAAUGGGCGAGAGCCUGAACCAGCCAAGUCGCGUGAAAGGAUGAAGGUUUUAUGAAUUGUAAACUUCUUUUGCAGGGGAAUAAAGUGUCCGACGUGUCGGAUUUUGAUGUACUCUGCGAAUAAGGAUCGGCUAACUCCGUGCCAGCAGCCG